rnacentral:rRNA from 1 species
GUCUAUGGCCAUUCUACCCUGAACAAGCCUGAUCCUGUCUGAUUUCUGAAGCUAAGCAGGGUCGAGCCUGGUUAGUACUUGGAUGGGAGACCACUGAGCGAGACUAGGUGCUGUAGGCA